GGCUCAUUGUAUCAUGUUUACAUAUCAAUUAUAUAUUCUUCUCCCGUGCCUUCUCACACAUUUCAUACUCAUAGAGAAGUAACUUUAUCCAGUCAUCGAGUUUCAAACCGUGAGCAACUGGCCCUCGGGGAUUUCUCGGUCAUCAAAAGAAAAAUUAGUGAUGAGUAAUAUGAGCCGGAUAAAUUGAACAUUGGUCCAUGAAAACUAUCUUUAUGCCAUUAAUAUAGUAAAACUAAGUUAAUACAUUGCACAAAAAACACAAUACAGUGAACAAGGAAAUUCCCCAUUUCCCUGAGAGUAGACUAAGUAAAACUUGAGAAGUGAACAUAUCAAUCGUAUGCAUAAAGCUUAUUGAUAACAGUUCCAAUACUUCUCCUCAGUUUGAGGCAUAAAAAUACUAGUACUCACCAAGCUUGUUAAAAUAUACAAUGACUUCAAGGUCCCCUUAGAGGCUUUGUUGAGAUGUUUGUUAGUUGUUCAUGGAGAUAACAGAUUUAAUGACUAUUUCCUUGAAAAGAACCUUUUUACCCAAAUAAAUUGGCAGGCCAUAUAUAUGCUCAGGUGCUUCAUGAAAAAUCGAAUAGAGGUUGUGCACAAUGCUGUUUGAUUAUCACAACAUAAUCUUAUUCGUUCAGCGUCUCCAAACUUCAAAGCUAGAAGCAAUUGUAUAAUCCAUAGUAACUAUAACCAUGGGCUGAAACUUGCCUUAUGUGCUAAAAACGACGUUAUGUUUCUUAAUUUUCCAUGAUAUAUAGUCACCAGCAGAAAAGACAUAGCAUCCAGAUAUAAAUAGUUGAUCAAUAGGAGAAUCAACCCAAUUUGCGUCAGAGUAUCCUACAUCUUGAGAAUUUCAGUUAUCUUUGCAUAGUAACAUUUAGCUCGGUGCUUUACUAAUCAUAGUUCAUACAACAGCAUCCCAAUAAUCAGCGUUUGCAGAGCAUGAAUUGACAAAGUACGACCACAGCAAAAGGACUGAUAUGGUAAUAGGAAGGUAGUUUAAUGUACCAACCAACUUUUUGCUACAUGUUAAGAUCUACACACGCUCCCCCUGAUAUGAUAGGGGUUUACGAUUUGGAUCCACGGAACUAUUAAUACGUCUAUGGUCUAUAACUAUCAAUAGGUCUUUAGUCCAGCAUACAGUUUUUUACUAGACUAACAUUACACUAUGUUAUCGAAUAUAACAGAUAAUCUAAUGAAUUGUACGUGCAAAGCCCUUUAUUAAAAUUUCUACAUCCUACGCAGAUAUACUACAUAAUGCCCAUAAAACUAUUUGCUACAUGGAAAACUAUUUGCUACUUAAUUAAUAAGUAUCGAGAUAUCCUAACAAAACAAAGGCGUCCGUAGUUGAACAAAUACCAAAUUAGGUGUCCAUAGCUAUCUAAAGAAUGAAAAAGAAAGUAAAAAGGAAAAAGAGAAAUAAAAGACAUAGAACAAACCAGUUGCUCCAAUUGCUGGAACAAAAAUCAUGCAUCCGACGCGUGACCUUUCAGUAAAGCAAGAUGUGUAAUUCAAGCUUAUCUUCGUGAAGAAAAAUAUAGACGUAAUGAGCUAAAGUGUCAAAAUUUCAAGAAAUAGUUAUACAGCAAUCUUUUAUUCUAUGGAAAAAUCUAUAUUCUAAGUAAAGCACAACUCUUUUUAAUAUUCUUAACCAGUUCUUGAAUCAACAGAAGGCAAAUCUUUAACAAUGAUGUAAGCCAUCAACUAAAAGAUUCUGAUAACAAAAACAACAACAACUACCCAGUAUAGUCCCACAAAGUGGGGUCUGGGGAUGGUGAUAUGUAGACGGACCUUACCCCUACCCGUAAGGGCAGAGAGGUUGUUUCCAAUCGACCCCCGGCUCAGUGAAGGAAAGGAAAAAGAAAAACAAAACAAAAACAAAAGAGCAUUAGUAACUCCAGGAGAAAUAGCGUAAAUAAUUAUCUAAACAUAACAACAACAACAACAACAAUAACAACUACCCAGUAUAGUCUCACAAAGUGGGGUAUGGGGAGGGUAAUAUUUAGACGAGCCUUACCCCUACCCGAAAGGGCAGA
rnacentral:lncRNA from 1 species